AUUGAACGCUGGCGGCAUGCCUUACACAUGCAAGUCGAACGGCAGCACGGGAGCAAUCCUGGUGGCGAGUGGCGAACGGGUGAGUAAUGUAUCGGAACGUACCUUUCAGUGGGGGAUAACGUAGCGAAAGUUACGCUAAUACCGCAUAUUCUGUGAGCAGGAAAGCAGGGGAUCGCAAGACCUUGCGCUGAUUGAGCGGCCGAUAUCAGAUUAGCUAGUUGGUGAGGUAAAGGCUCACCAAGGCGACGAUCUGUAGCGGGUCUGAGAGGAUGAUCCGCCACACUGGAACUGAGACACGGUCCAGACUCCUACGGGAGGCAGCAGUGGGGAAUUUUGGACAAUGGGGGCAACCCUGAUCCAGCCAUGCCGCGUGAGUGAAGAAGGCCUCGGUUGUAA
rnacentral:rRNA from 1 species